rnacentral:tRNA from 1 species
GGCCAGGUAGCUCAGGUGGUAGAGCGCCAGACUGAAAAUCUGGGCGUCGGCGGUUCAACUCCGUCCCUGGCCACCA